AAGCAUUGGUGCAGAUAAAAGCUACAAAGCCCAGCAAAAAUUUCCCUUGCAGUUGGCUACUGUCAAAGACCAUGCUAGCAUUGAAUUCGCAGGACAUAUUCUUCUUGAAUUUCAGUCAAACGCUUGAAGACAUUCUCUGGGAUGUUCCAUUCUCUCAUAAGUGUCUUCAAAAAGUGGUGGCUUGAAGUACUCGCUUUGAUGCAGUUCACUAUUUUUAUACAACAUUAAAAGCACC